ACUGAACGGCGGACGGGUGAGUAACGCGUGGGUAACCUGCCUCAUACAGGGGGAUAACAGUUGGAAACGGCUGCUAAUACCGCAUAAGCGCACAGUACCGCAUGGUACGGUGUGAAAAACUCCGGUGGUAUGAGAUGGACCCGCGUCUGAUUAGGUAGUUGGUGGGGUAACGGCCUACCAAGCCGACGAUCAGUAGCCGACCUGAGAGGGUGACCGGCCACAUUGGGACUGAGACACGGCCCAA
rnacentral:rRNA from 1 species